GAACGCAUAUUGCGCCCUUUGGUAUUCCGAAGGGCAUGCCUGUUCGCGCGUCAUUAUCACCCCUCAAGCCCCGGCUUGGUGUUGGACUUAGUUACAGAUCACCUAUAACUGGCCUCAAAGAUAGUGACGGCGUCCCAGAGGGAACCGGUACGAGGAGCUUCCAGUUAAGCAUGUACGCGGGACGACUCUGCGGGCGACGGUCUUUUUCAUUUCUCCAAGUGUUGACCUCGGAUCAGGUAGGAAUACCCGCUGAACUUAAG
rnacentral:misc_RNA from 1 species